CGAGGGACGGCGCCGCCCCGGGGCUCGUGAUAUCUUAUCUCGCCGCCCGUCGCGAGGCGGACGGAGGGAUGGAUGAGGUUACCUGGAAAAAAAUCGGGGCGAUCUAGGCGGGCGAACCUCGCCAACGAACGAUCGGACAUGGGAUAACGGAAGAGGGCGUCGGCUCGACUUCGUCGGUUCCUCGGGCCGAGGCACGUACGGUGAAUAGGGACGGUCGGGGCCGCCCGUACCGGGGUCGUGAGAGGUGAAAUUCUAGGAUCGACCCGAGACGAACUGCCGCGAAAAGCAUUCGGCAAGGACGCUUUCAUUAAUCAAGAACGAAAGUCGGGGGAUCGAAGACGAUCAGAUACCGUCGUAGUCCCGACCGUAAACGAUGCCGACCGAGGGCCCGGAGGAGUUACGUACGACCCUCCGGGCCUCCCGCGAGAAAUCAGGAGUAUUCGGGUUCCGGGG
rnacentral:rRNA from 1 species